CACAGUGGUUGAGCUCAGGGACUUGAAGGCCAGACUGACAGGGGCGGAGUCUACAGUGGCUACCCUACAGACAGUGAAUGAAGGUCUUUACAUCCCAACUGGGCAUCACAGUGGCUGAGCUCAGGGACAUGGAGAGCCAGGUGGGGGAGCUGAAGAAGAAUGCAGGUACCCUGGCCAAACCAAAGGCGGAAUUCUUAGCUGGACAAGGUGUCGGGUACGUCGGACACCACCCUGAUCUACAGCAAGAUCUACAGCAAGACGCUUAUAGCCCAAAUACAGGUCAUAUUUACAUCGUGAUGAAUGAAGACAACUGCAUUAUGGUCUAUUGCACAACUUUUCUACAUUAAUCUCUAUCACUUCACAUAAUAUCAUAACUACAAUGCAGGCCAAUAUUUUACGUCGCUGAUGAAAAAUGGUCAAUUACUUGUAACUUCUAAGGGAAACAGCGCUGGCGACUGGGCUAGUGUAUCUAAUGGGAUCACAUGUGCAGUUGGAGGAAGGGAAUGAGAUCUAUGUUCGUCUAUGGGAAUCUAGAUGGGUCUAUGACGAUCAAGAUCAUUUCACUCAGUAAAUCUCAGUGUU